UACGUAGGUGACAAGCGUUGUCCGGAUUUACUGGGCGUAAAGAGCGCGCAGGCGGUCGUUCAAGUCGAGUGUGAAAGCCCCCGGCUCAACUGGGGAGGGUCAUUCGAUACUGAUCGACUCGAAGGCAGGAGAGGGAAGUGGAAUUCCCGGUGUAGUGGUGAAAUGCGCAGAUAUCAGGAGGAACACCGGUGGCGAAGGCGGUUCUCUGGGCAUGUCCUGACGCUGAGGAGCGAAAGCGUGGGGAGCAAACAGG
rnacentral:rRNA from 1 species